CGCCGGUCCCGGGACGUGACCGAUUAAUUUGGUAUUAGAGCCUAGGGUUGAGUUUUAGAGGAGCUAGCAAACCUUAGGCCGGUUGGACUAUAGGAAUUAGGCUCGUAAGAGACGAGGUCUAAUUGACUUGUGAGCGAAAGUAUUAUGAUUGGGUUUAUGACAACUCUAAAAAGUUAGAGUUUGAUCGGAGUGUAUGGCUUCUAAUUUCGCGGAGGGUUACGUUGGCGGCCGACAACGUAACAUCGGGAGUUAGUAGUGAAGGACACUUCCUUACUUUC
rnacentral:lncRNA from 1 species